UUCUCUUCUCUUUAUUUGAUUUAUUUGCUAUGCUAUUGCUAUGCUAUGCAUCUAUAGGUAGAGAUCCUCUCUAUUUAUACAUGAUUCUCAUGAUCUAAUGAGAUUAGGACUCCUAAUUCAAAUCUGAUUUGAAUUGGUCUAAUACUCAUGAAAGAAAAAUUCCUAUAUGAGAUAUAAGUCAUCACAUAUGACAAUCAACUUGCACCCAAUCUCUCACCC
rnacentral:lncRNA from 1 species